rnacentral:lncRNA from 1 species
UCCUGAUCUCGCGAGAGUAAUUAAAGGCUGAAUUGUCUCGCCCGAUUUGAUAUGUCCAAUGGCCCGACAAUCUCAGGAUCGUGCAAUCUCAUGGCUAAUAAUCUAGCUAUCUGACAUCCUUCUAUAUAAACAAUCAGAGCCUUGAGGACCCAAGUAAGUCUAAUCAAAUCCCUCUCAGAGAAUCUAUUGCUGUUCUUUUGUUCUCUGCUGACUUGAGCAUCAGAGGAUCCUCAUCAGAGCCACAACCUUUAGUUUG